rnacentral:rRNA from 1 species
UACAGGGGGAGCAAGCGUUAUCCGGAAUGAUUGGGCGUAAAGCAUUCGUAGGUGGUAGGUGAAGUCUACUGUCAAAUACCAGGGCUCAACCUUGGACAGGCAGUGGAGUACUCAUUUACUAGAGCGUGGUAGAGGUAGAGGGAAUUCCCCGUGGAGCGGUGAAAUGCGUAGAGAUGGGGAAGAACACCGGUGGCGAAAGCACUCUGCUGGGCCGACACUGACACUGAGAGACGAAAGCUAGGGGAGCGAAUGGG